rnacentral:lncRNA from 1 species
AUGAGCCUGGGUGUCGGGGGGAGGGGCUCCCGCGGGGCGCUCCGGCCUAGGCUCCGGCCGAGGCCGCCCCCCCCCCGCCCGCGAGCGACGCGCUCGCUCCCGGAUCGUCUUCCCGCUGGGAGGACCCGGAAGGCGGGAGCGGGAGCGCCGGGUGACUCGGGCAGCCCGGCUUCCCCGUCCGUAAGUCGCCGGGUGACGAAGGACCAUCACGAUCCCCGCCUCGUCUCUCCCAGCGGCGGGCAGGCCGGCCUCGUGCCCGAGCGGGGAUCCGGGCCGAAGCCACCGGCAGCCCGCGGCCCGGAGGGGAUCCGGCCGGAGCCCGGGGAGGGGGACGGGAGCGGGGCGGGGGGCCGGGGGCGACGGCGGCGGCGGCGGGUGGGGGAGAGAAUCCCGUCUCCCCCGUUCGCAUCCGUAAGGCCCCGCCGGGGAUCACGAAAGGCCGCGCGACGUGACGAGAUUUUGUGGUCCAGCGUCAGGGGCUUGACGUUGGGAACGGCCACCCGGGUCAACCGAAAUCGCCUUCCCGGUCUUCCGGCGGCCGUUCCGCUUGAGGAAGCGGCCGUGGCCAGAUGUCACCGUGAGAGGGGCGAAGCCGGGAGGGAAGGAAAUGCCGAACGCUCGAGGGAAGGCCGCGCUCACCGGAGACCCUGGCUCGGCGCCCGCGACGAUAACAGCAGUGAAAGCAUCUUGUUCGGCGCUCGCCGCGGGCCCAGCUCCGUCCUAGCAAGAUGCGAGACAGCGGCGCCGAGGGCGCGGUCGGGCCUCGCGUUCAGUCGGUGUGGGCGGCCGGGCUUCGGACUCCCGGUUGGGUCCGCGUGUCGAACGCGCGGCCGUGGGUCGGGGCGGGAGGUGGGGUGGGGGACGGGGGAUGGGGGCGGGUCUGCCCGGUGGGCUGCGGCCGAGCGUCUCCGGGGGAUGACCUCGCACCUCCGGGAUGCGGGAGCGCGGGCUCGGGGGUCGGAGGACGUGCGCGCCGAUCCCGGCUCCGCCCCUCGUCCGCCGCGUGACCUAGGCCGAGUCACUUCACUUCUCCGUGCCUCGGUUCCCUCCUCUGGAAAAUGGGGACGAAGAUCGCGAGCCCCACGUGGGACAACCCGAUGA